rnacentral:rRNA from 1 species
GACGAAGGUGGCGAGCGUUGUUCGGAUUCACUGGGCAUAAAGGGCGCGUAGGCGGUUCCGCAAGUGGCGUGUGAAAGCCCCCGGCUCAACCGGGGAAGUGCACGCCAGACUGCGGUUCUAGAGGGCGGUAGGGGGGACUGGAACUCUCGGUGGAGCGGUGAAAUGCGUAGAUAUCGAGAGGAACACCGGCGGCGAAGGCGAGUCCCUGGUCCGCAUCUGACGCUGAGGCGCGAAAGCGUGGGUAGCAAACAGG